rnacentral:lncRNA from 1 species
CCCACAGGCUCUUAUCCUCUUCACUUCCCGCUGCAACCCCCAGGGACUGCAGGGCCUUUCUCAGGACCCUCUUCCCCGACACCUGUAUUGCAUGCGCCUUUCGCGGGAAGAGGAGGGACACACGUUUGGGAGCGAGUGGGACCUUGGGGAAGGGGCAGUGUUCAGGCAGCUGGGGUGUUAAGUUGGGGAGGUUUGGGGGCUCUGGAAGAGAGGCCCAGGCAGCCCAUCCUCUUCUUGGCUCCCAGGAGAAAUGCAAGCCUGGCAGCCAUUCCGCUCUGAGGAGAUCUGGGGGAACCCCACCGGCUGGCCAAGCUGCAAAGAGGCGCGGGAACCACUGUCGUGCCCCUCCCCUCCUCACUGCAGUGUUCUCCCAUCUCAUCAUUUGAUCGUACCCCGCCCCCCACUGCAGUGACCUCCCCUUCCUCACUGCAUUGACCUUCUCCUCUUCCCAGGGGGGAGGGGGAAUCCCUUCUACAGCCCUAGACUGCAGCCAGCGCCUCCCUACCCACCCCCCACCCACUGCAGUAACCUCUUUCCCAUCCCUCCCAGCCUCCCGCCCCGCCCAUUGAUCUCAGGCUCCACCCCUCUAAGCCUCUUAUCUUUCUCCUUCCUUCCCUUCCACCCGAGGAGAUCCCAGCCAUCAUGUCCAUAGAGAAGAUCUGGGCCCGGGAGAUCCUGGACUCCCGCGGGAACCCCACAGUGGAGGUGGAUCUCUAUACUGCCAAAGGUCUUUUCCGGGCUGCAGUGCCCAGUGGAGCCUCUACGGGCAUCUAUGAG